AGUGAACGCUGGCGGUAGGCCUAACACGUGCAAGUCGAACGGCAGCACAGUAAGAGCUUGCUCUUACGGGUGGCGAGUGGCGGACGGGUGAGGAAUACAUCGGAAUCUACUUUUUCGCGGGGGAUAACGUAGGGAAACUUACGCUAAUACCGCAUACGACCUACGGGUGAAAGCAGGGGAUCUUCGGGCCUUGCGCGAUUGAAUGAGCCGAUGUCGGAUUAGCUAGUUGGCGGGGUAAAGGCCCACCAAGGCGACGAUCCGUAGCUGGUCUGAGAGGAUGAUCAGCCACACUGGAACUGAGACACGGUCCAGACUCCUACGGGAGGCAGCAGUGGGGAAUAUUGGACAAUGGGCGCAAGCCUGAUCCAGCCAUACCGCGUGGGUGAAGAAGGCCUUCGGGUUGUAAAGCCCUUUUGUUGGGAAAGAAAAGCAGCAGGUUAAUACCCCGCUGUUCUGACGGUACCCAAAGAAUAAGCACCGGCUAACUUCGUG
rnacentral:rRNA from 1 species